AGCAUUCACCUCAGACCUUUAAUAGAAAAUACCACAAAUUUAUUUAAAAUGUAUCUUCUCCCUCAGAGGAACUCCAUUUGAAAUUAUCCCCUAUCAUUUAUGAUAAAUAACACAUCAAUACUGAGACUUAAACAUUUGUGCUCCUUUGUCAAACAAACAAAAACAAAGCCAAUAUAAACACACAAAGAAGACAUGUUUCCUAUGCCACAUCAUUGAGACCUUGAGGCUAAGUAGCCAAUCUCUGAAUCUCAUUGUGAUGGUACUGUGUUCCCCAAAAUAUUGUUCACCCUAAUAAACUUACCUAGGGUCAGAGACAGGACAGCCACUAGAUACAGAGGCUAGAAAAUGGUGGCACUCACACCUUUAAUCCUAGGAUUCCAGAGGCAGAAAUCCAUGUGUUCAAGGAUACAGACAGGCAUGGUGACUCAUCACGCCUUUAAUCCCAGAAAGCAAGCCUUUAAUCCCAGGGAGUGGUGGUAGAAAGCAGAAAGGUAUAUAAGGCAUGAGGACCAGAAACUAGAAGUAUUUUGGCCUGGUUAAGCAUUUGGCUGGUUAAGCUUUCAGACUUCUAGCAGCAAUUCAGCUGAGACUCAUUCUGGAUGAGGACUCAGAAGCCUCCAGUCUGAGGAAACAAGACCAGCUGAGGAUCCGACAAGAUGAGGUAGCUGUGGCUUGUUCUGGCUCUCUGAUUUUCCAGUGUUCACCCCAAUAACUGGCCUCAGGUUUGAUUUUAUUAAUAAGAACUUUUAAGAUUCAUGCUACAUCUCAUGGCCUUACAAUUGAGUGGAGAAGCAAAUAUUCAGAGUGUUUUAUAAACUUUAAUUUGGAACAUGUAAAUCUGAAGCAGUCUAACCCUGGUUUCUCUGAUGUUUCUUGUUGUUUUUUUUUGGGGGGGGAUUUUUUUUCCUGAUAGUUCCUUCUUAACCUCCCUAGAGACCUGAAUUCUUUUGUUAGUAUUCAUACCAUCCAAAAUCUUGCCAGCAGUCACACCAUCCUGUCCCCAGUGGUAUAUCCCUCAUCUGUCAUCUAUCAGGGAUUAUCACACUUCAACAUGUUAGAACUGUGCAGGUCUAAUUUGGGAUGACAUCAGAUUUAGCAAGCAGCCUGGCUCCAGAGACUUCUAAGUAAUUCCAGGUAAUCUUAACAUGGGUCAUCUGGAAUCUAACUUCAGGAAAUAUUCACAUGAGAGCCAUGAUGAGUCACUAUUUCUUGCUAAGAUCAGCUCUUCUGAGACUCAGUGGCAUUUAAUCAACAACCUAGUGAAAAUGACUCUAGGUUGCAUCAAAUACUCUGUGUUUCCCACAUCUCAAGCACGGGUCCUUGACACCCCAAGUGAGUCACACUCAAGGUGGUACCUUUGAUUUUCCCCUGAGUUUAUUCCUUUUGUCUGUUCAGAUACCAGAUCCUCAAACACCAGCUGACAUUUGGCUCCUCUCCUCUUACCCCCCUUUUACUCACCUCACUUCCACUUCUCACCACACAGUCUUCAGGUCUUACUUUCUGUCUACAUAUUGAUUCAAGAAUUUGCUCUGAUCCACUCUGUAAUCUGAGUAGCAUUAGUAUAACCCUAUCCCACAGGAAAAAUUGUAGCAUCCUCACUGUGGUUAUGACUCCACCCUGUCAUGGUGCCCUCCCUAUGCUUCUGCAAAUGUGGUGUAGCCAUCAAAAUUCAUUGAGAGUAAAAGAAGGGAUGCCAGGGCAAAUGUGUCCUACAAGGAGACACUGGGUUCAUGGACCCUCCUUUCUCUUUGCUUUUUGGUUUCCAGUUGGUAGGUUUCUUCCACCGCCUUAAUGGGCCAAGAAGCACUGCCUGACUCAAAGUCACCAGAGACCACCCAUCAUGGAUCAAUCCCUCUGAAAGUGUGAGCCCCAAAAUAUUUCUACCCUUUGAGCUGAUUUCCUCGGGUGUUUUUCUGCUGUGGUGGAAAGCUGACAGAGACAAGAGAAGACAUCACGUGUUGUUCACACACUAACACAGUUGGAGCUGGUACUCUGAUCUCUUCCUACUCAUUUAUCUCAUUUGCCAAAACAUUGGGUGCAAACUUCUCUGCAUUUCUUUUCUGUCCUGUCUCCAUUCUCACGGCUGAGAACACCUGGUUUCUUCAUAUCUUCCCCUGUCAAGGUUAAGGACUAAAUCUAGAAGUCCUUGGAAUUACUGCUCAACACUUUUCAUUUCCAAUGCCCUUUUGGCAUGAAAAGAAAUGGACUAGGAGACCACUAGGAGAACAUGCAGCUCUCCAAGAUGUCUAUGCAGCAUUCCAUUUGGGAACACCCAAUAGGCUGGCACCCUUGCUGAAGGUCUCAGUACUUAGUGUUGCUGAAUGUGGUGGUGCUGACAGUUUAAGGUGAUGGGGUUAUCCUCUGAAAGACCUACAGAUGGCCCUUGACAAUCCAGAACACAGGCGUGGGAACUUGGUCCUUUUUUCCAAGGAAGAUUCCACAGCAAGUUAUUUGCAUUUACUGUCUAGCUUUUGUGAAAGCCCAGGGAAUUGGCCUCUUCACUGUGCUGCCUCCUUCCCACUUCUGUUCUUGAGAUGACCUGAGGUGCUAUGAUUUCACACUAAAGUAGAGAACUCUCCCUUCACCCCAGCCCUCUUUAACCAGGAAUCUCCCUCCUCCAGCAUCUCUUUCAGCAUACCGCAGCCCUAUUGCCGCACAUUGAAGGACUGCCUGUCUAGUCUUCCACCUCCAUAAAUGAGCUACUGACUUUUGCUGAAGUUUGUGUUUGUGACUGUCCCUAUGCUUGUGUGUGUCCAUAUUUGCACUGUGUGUGUAUGUGUGUGUGUGUGUGUGUGUGUGUGUGUGUGUGUGUGUGUGUGUGUGUGUGUAAUUGUCUGUUGUCUGUGUGUUUUCAUCCUGGUUGCACAUUGCCUUAACAUUUAGAGCCAUCUUUAAACUGUUGCUUAUAAAUUCGGGGCAGUUGUCUGUUAGCUUUGAGCACAUACUCAAGCACUUUGACUAAGUAUUUUCAACCUUGCUGCGGUCUUCACUCCUUUGUACCCUACCUGCUUCUCACUGGCAUUUGAGCUGUUUUCCUCUGCACUGGCUUGGACUUUCUAGUACUCUCAGCGUUAUUCAUGUCUCCUAGUGUUCUUGUGUCCAUUGUAAACUGGAGUUUGCACAAAUAAACACCUACCUUACCAGUGCCUCCUGCUCUACUUAAUGAAAACAAAGGCAGCAAAGAGAGCAAUCUGGUAGAGCCUCUCCACUGUGCGUGAGUACCCAGCAUGGCAUUCCUUGAUGUGGUUUGUGUAUUAGCCAGGCUGCUACUGUGUUCAUACGUUCAUUGUCCUUUUCUGAUGAGUGCCCUUGUUCCUUCAAGUAGCCUAGCCCCUUUCUAAUCUCCCCAGAUAUCCUAAAAGUCACAAUUAUUUAAACAAAUAAACACAAAUCAAAAACAAUUUCCAGACAGAAACUGAAUUCUGCAGUGCGUGUCUUUCCCCAGCUAUGGCUUCAUCUCUCUUAAAGCCAGUGAAUCAACAUUACCCAAAACCACACACAAACGUCCAUGGUGCCUACAUGCUGUUUCAUUCUUUCAGUAUGGAUUUUACCAUCAUUUUGCCAUGACAUAAUUCUAUGGGUUACACCAAUAAUUUCAUACUGAUAAAUCAUGUCAGUAUUAAUAAGUACGUGUCACAUUUAAGACACUGCAGAAUUUUGCAGAGUUAAUAUAGUCCUAUUAAAACUUUUUUCUGCUGCUAUUUUUCUUGACACGCCAUCUUCUUGGCUUUUCUUUCCAUCUCUGGCUUCUUCCUUGAAAUUGUUUAUGGCUUGAUAAUUGUAUAUCUCCUCAAUUCUCAACCCAAAUCUCUCUUCUUAUUUCAUAUUCUCUUCCUCAGAUAUCCUCAGCCACACCCAGGGGUCUACAUAAACUAUGCUUAUCUCUGUCUCAUUUCUCCCUGAGUUAGGCCUGGAACUUUGAAUUUCCAAUUUCUUUCCUACAGAGAUGUAGAAAAAUCCCUUAAAUGUGGGCAGAUAUUGUUAAUGUUCAUACCAUAGAUUACCUAAUUAGUAACUCUUUCUUUCUAAUACUGUUACAACUUUUUUCCUUUGUUUUAUUUUUUCUGGGGGGGAGAAAUAAAUCCCAAUAUCUACACAAAACUUAAUGUAAGAACAGAUAAACAAAGAUGCACAGUGAAGGAAUGAAUGAGUAGAUGAUAAAUUCCCCUUCCUGCACCAUACAUCUUUACAGCCACAUUCCAUGGAGAGGGGCAAGCUGAUUGAGAAUUGCACCACUUUGAUUGAAUUACAGUUGAAACAAAAUAAAAAUAGAAUAAAUCUGCAAUUUAGAAUAACACAUUUAUAUUCAAUUCUACUCUGUUCUUGAUUCUUUUCAGACUGUUUGAUCUGGCAUUUGAACAAGCCAGGGCAAUUCGUUUCCUUGUAGAUUAAGAAAUAUGGUGCAUUGUCAUUCAGCUCAUUUAUUAGUUCCUUUGAUUACAGUUGGCUAUUCUAGUUUCAGUUGAAAUUGGAACGUCACUUGGUUGUACACUUGUGUCUGACCCAAACUGACUAAUCAUUUACAUUUUGCACUAUAUUAAAUUCUGGAUUCUUGGAAUUGAAAAGCUUGCCAUGUCCUUGGGAGUGUGGUACUAAUAAGUAUAUUUUUCAUAUUCCAUACAAAGAGAAAUGGUUAUAAAUAAUAUAACAUUCUCUUUCCUAGGGUAUUCUACAACCACUUCUUGAAGGUGGCAGGCAAACAGAAUCUAAAAAAAGUUGUUCUUAAAUGAUGAUUCAUUUUAACACAUUUUAAAGUUAUCAUUAGCUUGUGACCUGUCAUUAUUAAAGGAGAUUAGAAACCAUAAGCAUUAACCACUAAUCACUAAUUAAAGUCACUGAUGGAAGAAAUUUGGGAGAAACACUGUGUAUUUUUGCUUUGGAAGAAAAUUCAAAAGUAUGGCAAGUCUCUCAUUAAGGUUCUACAUUUUAUCUAGUUCAGGAUGACUAACACACAGAUUGUGCACUCUGUAUUAAUUACUACUUCCGAUUCAAACUUGAAAAUACAUCAUUGCCUUUUCAUUAAAGAAAGCUGGAUGCCAAUCCACAUUAAUUAAAAGAAAACACAUUAUCACAGGAUGGGAUUACAGAAAGCCCUUAAAAAUUGUCACAUUGAUUUUGAAAUAAAUAUUUUAACACAACCAUCAAUGAAAUUAUAUUAAGUAAUUAAAGACAAAUUGGGAACUACAAACACUGCUCCUCAUGCUGUGUAGAGUAACCAUCUCUGGACACAUCUAACCAGCCCCCAUAUGACUGUCAGAGCUUGGUAUCUUCAGCCUUUCAGUCUCUCUCAUGCAUUCAGUAUCCGGUUUCUUCCAUCAAAAGCAGCAGCCACUCAUGAACUUGAUAGACCUGCCUAUUGCUCUAGCAUUCAUUAAGAUAAUUAAUGAGAACUAAUUCUCUUUGGUCAUACGCUAUGACAAACCUUCCACUCCACACUUGCCUCACGUUUCAGUCGUACACCACAACAUAUCAUAGAUUUUAUUUUGUUCUCUUUUCCUGGUGGACCAAACACCUGCUUGCAAUCUAUGAGCAAGUUUCAUCAUUUCUUGACUGAAUUCCUGGUUAGUUUUCAAAAAGUUUCCAAUAUUGAGUAGAGUUAUAGUCUGUUAAUGCCAGCUCUGCCUGAGUACUGACUUCUGAUGUUUCUUUAAGAACUCAGAGCAGCUGGCAGCCAAUCCUACCCACAGAUCAUGAUUGCACUGUCUGUCUCUGGAAAACCUUUAUUCUUUGAGAAAUAAAUUUUCUGUAAUUACCAAGUAGGCUCAUCACAUUGGAUUCCUUUUUCAAGCAUCUACCUAGUCAUAGGUACAGUGCUAUUGUCGUGUCUGACAGCCAUGGACAUACUGCUCCAUCUUGAAGAAGUUGGGUCAGACAUGAACAGAAAUGAGAGAGAGGAAACAGUUGCUAAUUCAAAUAAUAUAGAAAUCUCACCUUCAAAAUUACUGAAGGAGAAAGCUGAGAUCAGCAACCACAAACCAAUGGCUGCAAUGGUAACUCUCAGUUGGCCGCUUUUCCUUUACUUCCUUUUGUAUGGUUUCAGUUAACACAGUUGAUCAUAGUCCAAACAAUGAAUUCCAGAGGUAAAUAAUUCCUAAGUUGAAACUGGGCACAGGUCUGAGUAUAUUGACACCUCCGGUGCAGGCCCGAUCCCUCUCUGAACAAUGGGAAUCAUCAAUUGGCCAUGCAUCUUCAGUCUCUAUGUGACCCUACCAUGGGCACUUAACAGCUGUCUCCGUUACCAGAUAGAUGGUGGAGGGGUCGCCUCACUUGUGGUGAUGUGACCCUCAUGUCACAGUGUGAGAGCACUAUGUCACUUUAUAGCAUCACAAGAAAGACGAAUACAGAGAGAGAGACAGAGAGACAGAGACAGAGAGGAUGUAACUUUUACAGUAGCGUGUGAUUAUAAUUUUGUUGUAUUAAUUUAUUGUUUUAUUUAUAAAUCAAAUUUUAUAAUGAGUAUAAAAUUUUCUAACUUUAGAAAAAAUAUGUAAGAUUUAGUGCUAUGUGAUAUUUUAGACAUCCAGGUGUCUUGGAAUGCAUGCUCCAUGGGCAUGAGAGGCUAUAGUAUUACAGUUUAAUGUAUUGCAAAGCAUGUACAAUCUAUGCUUUGCAUCUUACACAUUUAAGAUAAUUCCAUGGACCAAGUGAAGCUCAGUCCCUUUUCCUCUUUGUCUAGUGCUAAUUUUGAUGACAGUGUAGCACAUUAACUUAGUUUUAAACUUUAGUUUUAAACAUUAGGACACAACCAGUUACUUUGAAAAUCUCAUGAGGCAUUUAAUGAGAUUACACUUUCUGGGAAGGAAAUACACAGCUAGAUGGCUUAAUUGUUUGUGAAAAUUAGUGAGUGUGCAAGCACAAAUGAUGUCCUAGUGGUCCAGCAUACUACACACCAGGCUAUAUACUAUUACAAGGCUACCAUUUUAUAUGGGCUUGCUCUGUGCAUAGAAGGCGACUCACUGCUCAGGAACCAUUUUCCUGUAUACCAAAUAUUCCUAGAUUGAAAAUUUAUCUUUAGAACAAUAGGGUCCCACUGCCAGGAGACAUCUGUAAUGUGCAAGUGUCUGCAUGAGGAUGCAACUCAAUGAAAGAUGGGGGAAUGUUCUGUGAGUGCUACCUGGUUAUUUAACACGAUCAAUUUCCCGUCCUGGACUAAAGGGAAAGACAAUUGAUUUGCCCCACAAACAUCCUCUAGAAGGCCAUUGAUAUGAUUACAUUGCUCCAGAGGGAAGGCAUGUGCUAAUGUGUCAUUUCCUAAUUUUAUAUUUAGUUCAAGAUAAUUCUCUCAUUAUGUAACUCAACUCCAGUGGUUCUUCCAUCAUCUCACUCAACUGGGUGAGCACAGGAUGUUAGAAUGGAUUUCUUGACACAGUUCAACAUACAGAAAAAUUUGUGAAAAUACUGUUAUAAGAGAAAAUUAGCUUAGAAAAAUUAUCUCUCUUAUAAAUCUCAUUUCUUAUAUGGGGUUUUCAUUGAAAUUUUGAGGUUUUUUCCUUUGCUCAUUUUUGGUUUGCAAGGACUACUACAACACAUGAUUGUUUAGAGCUUCCUCAUAUGUUGAUACAAAAUGAUUCUAAUCAAUGUUCCUGAACUAUGUGUCAAAGGGUGUUGAGGGUGUAUAGUUGAGUAACUACACAGACUAGAAAGAUCCUGAAUGAAGCAGACUCUGUGACACUGUAUUUUCUGAAAAUCUGGCAUUGUUCCUGGACUUCUUGGUUUUAUUCUCACUCAUGAAAUCCCCAAGACAGAUGAAGAGUCUCCAUGUCAUGCCUGUAAAUGGAUGACUUGACUCACACAAGCAGUACUGAAAUCUCCUUUGAACGUUCUGGCAGGAAUGAUCUCCUGCUAGGGAAAGAUCAUGAAGACAAUGAGCAGCAAGGAAGAGAUGGCAGAAGGUUGACAUUUGUUCACUGCACUGAGCACCACUGCAGGAGUGUGACUCUGAGACUCUCAGAACUAUGUCUGGAGAAGGCUUGUCUGACUUUCAGCUAAGCAGCUGGAAAUCACACUAAUAAGGUGACCGUCUCAAAAGACAACUAUUUAUUUUGAGGUUUUGAGUUAUUCAAAUCACAGUCCAAAUGUUUUAUUGUACUUUAUAGCUCUUGAAAAUAGCUCAACUGGAAUUACUAGCUAAAUUGAAAAUGAGCUGUUACUAGUUUUAUUUUCUCAAGGAGAAGCCACAGGCCAAUUAGGAAAUGCACAGGAAUCACUAGCAUCUAGGCAUGGAGUGUGCCCCAACUCCAUCAGCCUGUGUAGACAUUAGAUCUACCUUAUAUAGAGAUCAAUAUAUAAGAUGUCUCAAUUGAGCUCAAUGAUUUGAUUAGCUAUGGACCAGAGAUCCUUUCUCUGACUCCCAAGUUCCGGAACUACAGGUAGGUAUAGCCACUUGCCUGAUAUUUGUAUGAGUGUUGAGGACUUGAACUCUGGUCCUCACUCUUGAAUAUCAAGCUUUUUACAAGCUGAGCCUCAUCUCUCCCAUUACUAUACUCUCAUAACUCCCUUUUUCCUUCAUGACUGACUCUAACAUGGUAACUUUACCAUUGAUACAUAAUUUCUCACAUUGUAUUUGUAUUGUUUGUUUAUUGCUUAUUUCAGUUGGGUAAUAACUUCCAAAAAGACAGAAAUGUUGGAUUAGGUGGAAUUGUAACUCAUAAUAUUUCACCUAGUAUUCUAGUAGUUGUAGAUGAGUGUGUUAUUGAAGUUAUACAUGAGUGCCUACAACUGUUAUGGAAAUAGCUCUGGCUUGGGAUGUCUUUCAGUGUUUGGGUACUUGUCUAGAAUGUACAACACUUGGGUCUGAUGCCAAGCAGUACACAAAAGCAAGAACAGAAUAUCAACCCUGAUUUGUAUACUAUACUUGAAAAAACACUAUUAUUUUUUAUAGUGAGACAAAAUAGUUGGAAUUAAAUAUACAUUUUUAAAAAUACUGAUUUCAAUAUAUUUUCUGGAUGAAGAAAAUUUAAACAUUAAGAAGUGACCAUUUCAGCACUCAUUGGUGCUUGUGUAUGUGUAAUGUAUGUGUUUAUCAUAUAUUUUUAUAUCAUAUAUACAUAUACCAAUCAAGCAUAUGUACUAACAUGUGUGCAUGUUUGUAAGCCAUAAGAAAAUAAAGUAUGAUUUGAACCAUAUUUUAUUUUAUCCUAAGAUUAAACAUGGAAUUUUUUAAAGAUAUGUGUUUUAGACACAAAUUAUUAUCUAAUUAAGUAAAAAAACAGCUCUUUAAACUCAUCUUGAGGCAUAACCAGGGUAUUUGAUUGUUUUCUUUGGAGAUAUUUGCUGCAUGAAUGUAAAGGUAAAUAUAUAUCUUUCUUUUUCCAUGUAACAUUGACAUUUUUCUGAAAGGUAAAAUUUACUUUUGUACCAAAGGUUGUAGCAUCGGUCAUAACAUACCCAAUAAUUUCUGAAAGUAUCUAGCCCAAGCUUACACUGUUUUGAAAUGUUGGAAAUACACUUGACACUAAGUGUAUAAGUAUCAUCUACACUCCACUCAGCACCUAUGAAUAUGUGUAUCACAAUGCUGGCCACUACAAGUGGAAAGCCAUUUCUCUUGGGCAAUAAGUUCUUGUCCCAAUGGCUUUCAUUCCUUUGGAAAUGUCAUCUCAAGUCACUUUUAGAAAUAUUUAUUUUCACAGACUAGUUUCUGGCGAUACUAUACACGCUAAAGUAUGUUCAAAAGAAGUGCAAGACAUUUAUUUAACCCGUAUUUGCUCAUUCCUGUGGUGUUGAAAAUAAUGUCUUUUUGAGAACCAAUCCAAGUUGGAUGUUCAUCUGUGCGUAUCACAUGACUGUAAGUCAAGAUCUUAAUUGCUCAAUAAAGUGUCUGUGAGAUAAUAAGGUAUGUGUGCAAUUCUAAGAACCUCUAAAUAUUUCAGGUCUGAUUUAACAAUGGUCAAAUUUGGAAAUAUACUCCUGUAUUAGCUUUACAAUGCAAUUAUUAUAUAAUUAAAGCAUUUUCCUUUCCUUGACUAUAUCUUUGUUAGUCAAGUAGAUCUGCAAUGGCAUAGAAACACUGUGUAGACUUUGGUUAAAGGUAGAGAUUGCAAUGUACUUAACAAGGUUGGUCUUUAAAUCUGGAGACGUCUGCACUUUAGGAUGCAUCAAGCAGUAAUUUGUAAUUGACAGUUUUCUUACCUAAAGCCUUCUCAGUCAAGAGAUUGUUCUCCAAAGACAGUCAGCUGGGUAAAUGUCAGAGGCUCAAAAAGUAAAUUAUAGGGCAAACAGCGUUGAUAUUUCUAUGAAAUGGGAGAAAGGCAUAUUUAUUUUUAAAAUAUAGAAUUUUAUUUAAAACAAGUGAAAACCUUCUCUCUGUGACCUUUCCAAGAUUCCAAACAGUGACGAAUUUGGUCAUUACAAAUAACCUUUUCCACAAAGGACCUAAGCAGUCAGUACUUCUAUUUGGUAAUGUACAUGAAUUAGUUUCUUUUCUACAAUAUGACUCUUGACAUUAAAUUUUUAUAUUUUAUCCCUGAUAAUACAGUUUUAAAUAAACUUUGAAAGGGGAAACAUGUAUGUAAACAGCUACAUGGCAAUCCAUUGUUUUAACUACUGUAGGGUUAAUCAGUCAUGCUCUUCAAUAUAGAUGGUUCUGUUUGUGUAAGUUUGUGGGGCUUAAUGCCUCCUAGUUUUGCUUGCAGAUACCAGAAUUUUACUGGAUAGCUUCAUGGAAAGCAGUUUCCAAUUCAACAGUUUAUUCUAAGUUUGUUGACUGGUAAUUUGUUUGAAAUCUAAAACUCUUCUUUACAAUAUGAAUGUUGUGAUUUUCAGAUUGUUUCCCAAGUUAAUCUUUACUGGUUUUAAACUCUUGGGGAAUUAAAAGAGAAAGUGAAUGUAAUAUUCAUGUAGUACAUAAAUACUGUUUCUGAUUGUUUAUAUAAGAUAAUGAAUAUAGAUUAAAUAAUUGUAAAACACUGUUACCCAA